rnacentral:rRNA from 1 species
UGAGUAACACGUGGGUAACCUGCCCAUAAGACUGGGAUCACUCCGGGAAACCGGGGCUAAUACCGGAUAACAUUUUGAACCGCAUGGUUCGAAAUUGAAAGGCGGCUUCGGCUGUCACUUAUGGAUGGACCCGCGUCGCAUUAGCUAGUUGGUGAGGUAACGGCUCACCAAGGCAACGAUGCGUAGCCGACCUGAGAGGGUGAUCGGCCACACUGGGACUGAGACACGGCCCAGACUCCUACGGGAGGCAGCAGUAGGGAAUCUUCCGCAAUGGACGAAAGUCUGACGGAGCAACGCCGCGUGAGUGAUGAAGGCUUUCGGGUCGUAAAACUCUGUUGUUAGGGAAGAACAAGUGCUAGUUGAAUAAGCUGGCACCUUGACGGUACCUAACCAGAAAGCCACGGCUAACUACAUGCCAGCAGCCGCGGUAAUACGUAUGUGGCAAGCGUUAUCCGGAAUUAUUGGGCGUAAAGCGCGCGCAGGUGGUUUCU